rnacentral:rRNA from 1 species
UGCCAGACUCCUACGGGAGGCAGCAGUGGGGAAUAUUGCACAAUGGGGGAAACCCUGAUGCAGCGACGCCGCGUGAGCGAAGAAGUAUUUCGGUAUGUAAAGCUCUAUCAGCAGGGAAGAAAAUGACGGUACCUGAGUAAGAAGCUCCGGCUAAAUACGUGCCAGCAGCCGCGGUAAUACGUAUGGAGCAAGCGUUAUCCGGAUUUACUGGGUGUAAAGGGAGCGCAGGCGGUCUGGCAAGUCUGAUGUGAAAUACCGGGGCUCAACUCCGGGACUGCAUUGGAAACUGUCAGACUGGAGUGUCGGAGAGGCAGGCGGAAUUCCUGGUGUAGCGGUGAAAUGCGUAGAUAUCAGGAGGAACACCAGUGGCGAAGGCGGCCUGCUGGACGAUGACUGACGCUGAGGCUCGAAAGCGUGGGGAGCAAACAGGAUUAGAUACCCCAGUAA